rnacentral:rRNA from 1 species
UACGAAGGGUGCUAGCGUUGUUCGGAAUCACUGGGCGUAAAGCGUGCGUAGGCGGCUUGUCAAGUCAGGGGUGAAAUCCCACAGCUCAACUGUGGAACUGCCUUUGAAACUAGCAAGCUUGAGUGUCGGAGGGGAUAGCGGAAUUGCUAAUGUAGAGGUGAAAUUCGUAGAUAUUAGCAGGAACACCGGUGGCGAAGGCGGCUAUCUGGACGACAACUGACGCUGAGGCGCGAAAGCACGGGGAUCAAACAGG